GGCGCCGAGGUGACGGUCUCGUAUUUGGCGGAAGAGGCGCUGCUCGAGUCCACCGCCAGCCGGCGGGCGCAGCUGGAAGCGACGAAGCAUUUCUUGUGCCGUUGCGAGACAUGCUCCGAGCCAGUGGACCAGGCCC
rnacentral:SRP_RNA from 11 species